AUACGGAGGGUGCAAGCGUUAUUCGGAAUCACUGGGCGUAAAGGGUGCGUAGGCGGUUUGAUAAGUCUGAUGUGAAAUCCUAUGGCUCAACCAUAGAACUGCAUUGGAAACUGUCAGACUAGAAUACUGAAGGGGCAGAUGGAAUUAGUGGUGUAGGGGUAAAAUCCGUAGAUAUCACUAGGAAUACCGAAAGCGAAAGCGAUCUGCUGGGAAGUCAUUGACGCUGAGGCACGAAGCGUGGGGAGCAAACGGGAUUAGAAACCCUUGUAGUCC
rnacentral:rRNA from 1 species